rnacentral:lncRNA from 1 species
AUGAUGAUCAUCGUCAACAUCAUCAUAGUCCUCCUCCUCAUCAUCAUCAUCAUUGUCCUUAUCAUCAUCAUCAUCAUCAUCAUAAUAGUCCUCAUCGUAGUCCUUAUCAUCAUCAUCAUAGUCCUUAUCAUUAUCAUCAUGGUCCUUAUCAUCAUCAUCAUAAUAGUCAUCAUCAUAGUCCUUAUCAUCAUCAUCAUAUUCCUUAUCAUCAUCAUCAUCCUCAUAGUCCUUAUCAUCAUCAUCAUAGUCCUUAUCAUCAUCAUCAUAGUCCUCAUCAUCAUCCUCAUAGUCCUCAUCAUCAUCAUCAUAGUCCUUAUAAUCAUCAUCGUAGUCCUUUUCAUUAUCAUCAUCCUCAUAGUCCUUAUCAUCAUCAUCAUAGUCCUUAUCAUCAUCAUCAUAGUCCUCAUCAUCAUCCUCAUAGUCCUCAUCAUCAUCAUCAUAGUCCUUAUAAUCAUCAUCGUAGUCCUUUUCAUUAUCAUCAUCAUCAUAGUCCUUUUCAUUAUCAUCAUCGUCAUCAUAGUCCUUAUCAUCAUCAUAGUCCUUAUCAUCAUCAUCAUAGUCCUUAUCAUCAUCAUCAUCAUCAUCAUUGUCCUUUUCAUCAUCAUCAUCAUCAUUGUCCUCCAUCAUCAUCAUCAUAGUCCUCCUCCUCCUCAUCAUAGUCCUUAUCAUCAUCAUAGUCCGUAUCAUCAUCAUCAUAAUAAUCCUCAUCAUAUUCAUUUUCAUUAUCAUCAUAGUCCUCAUCAUCAUCAUCAUCAUCAUCAUAGUCCUUAUCAUCAUCAUCAUCAUCACCAUUGUCCUCCUCCUCCUCCUCAUCAUCAUCAUCAUAGUCCUCCUCCUCCUCCUCAUCAUAGUCCUUAUCAUCAUCACAGUCCGUAUCAUCAUUACCAUCAUCAUCAUCAUAAUAAUCCUCAUCAUCAUAUUCAUUUUCAUUAUCAUCAUCAUCAUAGUCCUCAUCAUCAUCAUCGUCAUUGGCCUCAUCAUCAUCAUAGUCCUUAUCAUCAUCAUCAUAGUCCUUAUAAUCAUCAUCAUAGUCCUUUUCAUUAUCGUCAUCAUCAUCAUAGUCCUCAACAUCAUCAUCAUCAUAGUCUUUUUCGUUAUCAUCAUCAUCAUCAUCAUCAUAGUCCUUAUCAUCAUCAUCAUAGUCCUUUUCAUUAUCGUCAUCAUCAUCAUAGUCCUUAA